rnacentral:rRNA from 1 species
UGUAUUUAUUAGAUAAAAAACCAAUGCCCUUCGGGGCUUUUUGGUGAUUCAUGAUAACUUUACGGAUCGCAUAGCCUUGCGCUGGCGACGGUUCAUUCAAAUUUCUGCCCUAUCAACUUUCGAUGGUAAGGUAUUGGCUUACCAUGGUUUCAACGGGUAACGGGGAAUUAGGGUUCGAUUCCGGAGAGGGAGCCUGAGAAACGGCUACCACAUCCAAGGAAGGCAGCAGGCGCGCAAAUUACCCAAUCCCGACACGGGGAGGUAGUGACAAUAAAUACUGAUACAGGGCUCUUUUGGGUCUUGUAAUUGGAAUGAGUACAAUUUAAACCUCUUAACGAGGAACAAUUGGAGGGCAAGUCUGGUGCCAGCAGCCGCGGUAAUUCCAGCUCCAAUAGCGUAUAUUAAAGUUGUUGCAGUUAAAAAGCUCGUAGUUGAAACUUGGGCCUGGCUGGCGGGUCCGCCUCACCGCGUGCACUCGUCCGGCCGGGCCUUCCUUCUGAAGAACCUCAUGCCCUUCACUGGGCGUGCUGGGGAACC